UUCUUUAUUAACAGUAUAGUGUAUAUUUCCAAACUCAAGUCAGUGUUUGGAUGAACUUGAAGCUACAUAUGUAUACCCCAUAUUUAAAGAAUUGUUAAAUUUUAAUUAGCUCAAAUGUAUUAUACACCUUUAGUGCUAUUCCAUUACAAUAACGUGGGAGGGUCGGAAGGGACUUUCAAAAUAUCCCUUCAACCAAGAACCAAUUUUUAGAUAAUUUUGCAUAAUUGUAAUAGACCUCUACUGAAAAAAGAUGCAUGACCCACAUUUAAUAUUUUGAACUUCCCUUCCUAUCCUCCCACAUACAUUUUAAUGGAAUAGCCCUUAUCAAAUAUACUGCUAAAAAUAUCUUGUACAGUAUAGUGAACAAUUGGGAUGAUGCAAUAUUGAGAUUGAUUUGUGUCAAUCAGAUUUAAAUACCAAUCCUGCGUCCACACUACGGUUACAAGGAUCUGACAACACACCGUAUUGGUAUAAAUUAAUACAUCAGCUAAUAAUUACAUUAGAUGUAUGUUCAUUAUAAUAUUUUAUUCUGAUUGGCUAACUGCACAUCACAUGUUAUUCCGUAAGCAGUUGCACUGCUCAAUACAACUUUUCAUUCAUGAUAACACGUGCUCCAACAAUAAAGUGCACAGGUGAAUUAAAUAAUAA
rnacentral:lncRNA from 1 species